UCCGCGCAGUGUUGAAUAAUCUAAAAGUUGUGUCCUGUCUCUAUAGAAGAAGAACAAUACUUUAUUUCAGUGAAUUGCAAUGCUAAUGAAAUAUUUCGUUUGACAUAGAUGCCAGUUAAGGGUUAAGAGUAUUGACAAACACUAGCACGCAAUUUCACGAAGUCGAUUUAAUCCGUUCCAGUGUGAGAGGAGUUGCAUGCCGUCAAGUUGCACGUUGCAAGCUAAUCAGUGAAAAUCUCGAGACUCGGCGUUUCCGUAAUAAUGCGUUAUAAAAUGAGGUUCAAGUAUCGUCAGAAAUAAGAUAUUGCCGCCGGCUUAAAUGACAAUGCAAAGAUUUUACUUUUUAUUUCGAAAGGGUUUCAUGAAGAACAAACGACGAGAAGUGGGACCGAAUGAUAUUUCAGGAACACCUGCGGAGAAAUUUUACCAAACACAAACAACGAAUGAAUCGGAUGUUACCCAGUGGGGAAUUAAACAAAGUCGGAUAUGCGGGAGGCUCAGGAAAGGAAUACUUAGUAGUUCAAAAAAACAGCAGCAGCUUGGAACCAUAAAAUGAACACAUGGUCUUCAAGACAAGUCCUGUUUCUGCUUGUGUUCGCUGGGAUCUGUAAAACAUCAUCAGCCAUAGAUCUGUAUUCAAAGUACUUUUUGGAAUCUGGCUGUGAAGUUCAACAUGCCGAGGAAAACAACAAUGGAUUUGCUCCAUACAACAUAUCUACUGUCAACUGUUUAUCUAAUUUAAUUCCGGGUACAUUCAUAUUCGUUACAUGUAACGAAUUCUGUCAAGACCCAAUAACCUUGGAAAUUUUGCCGAAAAGUAGUUACCAGCCAGAACCUGUUUCAAUAAAAAUGACAUUUGUGGCCAGAUUUGACGACGUAAAAAUAGAGUGGACUGAAACUGUUGAUGUAGCGUGCAAAUGCGUUCGACUCGAUGAAGUUCCAAACGCAGAAGAGCAACAUCGCAUUAGUCGGAGACAUAGAAGAAAACGAAAAUGCAGAAAUGUUUAGGUCUCCGGAUUAAUUGGGAUAUUCUUCUAGAAUCUAGACAGACAAAAGAACUGAUUCAUAUUGUUGAUGUAAAAGGUAUAUAUAUAUAAGUUUGACUACGUAUAUUUACAGUGAAGCGGAGACAAAAGCUCAUUGUGCUUGAUAAUAAAAGUAAAAUUGAUGGAAUCCACGCGAAAGAACCCACGAACUUUUUAAUUACUUCUACAAAAUGGUUCUUUCACACUUGAGUUUUUGUUAGUGUGUGAUUGUCCGCAAAAGUUUCCAAAUGGCCUGGGUUCGGUUUUUUGAGCGUCAGCCUGUAUAUAUAUGCAAUGUUGCAUUAAGUAGUUAUGUAAAAAAUGGUUCCUUUUAGAGAGAACUCAAUCAAGAUUUCAGGUAAGAUAUAUGAUGAAAAUUCUACGGAAUACCACCUAAAUAUAUAAGGUAGUACAACCGAAUAUAUUAUAAAUGAAACUUUAUUAAUCGUAACUAUGAUCUAAUCCUAGCAACCGGUUCCCAAAUAUUACAAUUUCCAAGAAUCGAUACCCAACAAUACAGACAGCUAAAACGCGAUUAAAUAAAUAUACACCAUAGCAUGAUUAUUUCUCGGAACAAGGUUUGACAAAAAGUACAAGGUAUAUUUAUUGACGAAUCAAAUUAAAUAGACAAUUUAAUAAGCAAUAUUUGAUCUCAAGUAAUAUUGCCGGAUUAGCAUUAAUUUUAAUUGCUUAAUUCAUCCCGUCUGAAACUUCCUACACCACACGCUAGUCGUCCAACCAACGUUUGAUACAAUGCAGCGCGAAAAAUAUAUAAAAAAUUUCAGAAAAAAAAUGAAAUCGCAUUAUUGGGUCAAAGGGGCAAUGUGGUGUUCACUUGUGGAUAAUUUCAGAACUGGGAAUAAAUUUUCAAAAGAAACAGGUAUUCCUUUCUAAUAAAUUAUCAGAUUGAAAUUGAACCGGAGAAAACCAUCCGGUCCCAUAUAGGGAUGAUCACGAAUUUUAUUACUUUAUAUUCAAAAUACAUGUUAUGCAUAUACACUUUGCCAAUUGCUGGCUUCUGUUCUAACAAAAUGGAUGCCGUUGAUGAUUUGGAAUUUUAUUGACAACUUUUUGUAAAAAUUCUUACUGUUCUAAUAAAAUGCCUAUACAGGGUUAGCCUAAACUAGGGUGACAUUUAUUCCUAAUCAAUUCAUUUAUUAACUGUCAACCCUCAUUUGGCCCACUCUGUAUAUGAUUUUUAAUGCAUUGCCUUGAAAUAAUUGAUUCACUCUUGGAAAAAAAUAUUUUUUUGUAAUAGACAUUCCUUUAAAUACCAUUUAUUAACGUAUUUGUACUGUCUAAUGUCCGGGUUAAAGUAAUCAGAAUAUUUUUGUCUACGAGUUACAUGGUUUGUACAAUAUGUUUUCUAUUUUUCGCGCUAUAUUUAGUGGUAUUAUGUGAAAAUGUGACAUUUUAUCUGCAUAUGUGCAUCGCUAUCAACUAUUUGUAAAAAAGACUAUCUGUUCUGAUAAAGUGCAUAUUAUCUUGAAAUAGAUGAUUCACUGUUGGAAAAAGUAUUUUAUUCUGAUGUAAUAGACAUUCCUUUUAAAUAACAUUUAUUAAUCCGUUUGUAACUGUUUGGUGUCAGCGGUGAAGUGAUGAAAAUAUUUUUGCUAUGAGUUACAGUGUUUGUACAACAUAUUUUCUAUUUUUCAAGCUAUAUUUAGUGAUUCUAUUUAAAAAUUGGACAUUUUAUUUGCACAUUAUGUGCAUCACCAUGUCUUGUUCAAGUUUUUGUGAGAAAUUCUUUUCUUUUCUAAUAAAGUGCAUAUUAUCUUGAAAUGGAUGAUUCACUGUUGGAAAAAAUAUUUACUUCUGUUGUAAUAGACAUUCCCUUAAUUAAAUAACGUUUAUUAAUCUGUGUGUAACUGUCUCGUGUAAGCGUUAAAAUAAUCAAAAUAUUUUUGUCUAUGAGUUACAGCGUUUGUACAACAUAUUUUCUAUUUUUUGCGUUAUAUUUAGUGAUAUUAUGUGAAAAUUUAACAUUUAUCAGCAUUUGUGCAUCGCUAUACCAUGUUCAGCAUUUUAUAUCUUAUAAAUAUACAAGUAUUAUUGUUUAAAGUA